GCCGGAGUGGUGGAAUUGGUAGACACGCCUGAUUUAGGAUCAGGUGCCUCACAGCGUGCAGGUUCGAGUCCUGUCUCCGGUA
rnacentral:tRNA from 1 species